GAAGUGUGGACGCCAGUCUGCAUGGAGCCAACCUUGAAAUACCACCCUUUAAUGUUUGAUGUUCUAACUCGGCCCCGUAAUCCGGGGUGAGGACAGUGUCUGGUGGGUAGUUUGACUGGGGCGGUCUCCUCCCAAAGAGUAACGGAGGAGCACGAAGGUUAGCUAAUCACGGUCGGACAUCGUGAGGUUAGUGCAAAGGCAUAAGCUAGCUUGACUGCGAGAGUGACGGCUCGAGCAGGUACGAAAGUAGGUCUUAGUGAUCCGGUGGUUCUGAAUGGAAGGGCCAUCGCUCAACGGAUAAAAGGUACUCCGGGGAUAACAGGCUGAUACCGCCCAAGAGUUCAUAUCGACGGCGGUGUUUGGCACCUCGAUGUCGGCUCAUCACAUCCUGGGGCUGAAGUAGGUCCCAAGGGUAUGGCUGUUCGCCAUUUAAAGUGGUACGCGAGCUGGGUUUAGAACGUCGUGAGACAGUUCGGUCCCUAUCUGCCGUGGGCGUUGGAAGAUUGAGAGGGGCUGCUCCUAGUACGAGAGGACCGGAGUGGACGAAUCACUGGUGUUCGGGUUGUCAUGCCAAUGGCAUUGCCCGGUAGCUAAAUUCGGAAGAGAUAACCGCUGAAAGCAUCUAAGCGGGAAACUUGCCUCGAGAUGAGUCUUCCCUGGGGCUUUAAGCCCCCUGAAGGAACGUUAAAGACUAUGACGUUGAUAGGCUGGGUGUGUAAGUGCAGCGAUGCAUUGAGCUAACCAGUACUAAUGAUCCGUGAGGCUUAACCUU
rnacentral:rRNA from 1 species